rnacentral:rRNA from 1 species
GACGAACGCUGGCGGCGUGCUUAACACAUGCAAGUCGAGCGGAAAGGCCCUUCGGGGUACUCGAGCGGCGAACGGGUGAGUAACACGUGAGUAACCUGCCCCAGACUUUGGGAUAACCCUCGGAAACGGGGGCUAAUACCGGAUACGACACAGCUUCGCAUGGGGUCUGUGUGGAAAGUUUUUCGGUUUGGGAUGGGCUCGCGGCCUAUCAGCUUGUUGGUGGGGUGAUGGCCUACCAAGGCGACGACGGGUAGCCGGCCUGAGAGGGCGACCGGCCACACUGGGACUGAGACACGGCCCAGACUCCUACGGGAGGCAGCAGUGGGGAAUAUUGCACAAUGGGCGGAAGCCUGAUGCAGCGACGCCGCGUGAGGGAUGACGGCCUUCGGGUUGUAAACCUCUUUCAGCAGGGAUGAAGCGUAAGUGACGGUACCUGCAGAAGAAGCGCCGGCCAACUACGUG